GUAGACGACGAUGGACCUGAAGAAGGAGAAAUUGUGGAUGAAUCUGAUGAUACGGCGUCGUAUUUGGGCAAAGAAAUCAAAGCUAAGCAUCCAUUAGAGAAUUCUUGGACUUUUUGGUUUGAUAAUCCUAUGGCUAAAUCUAGACAAGCUGCUUGGGGCAGUUCCCUUCGCGAACUUUACACUUUUUCCACUGUCGAAGAUUUUUGGGGGUAAGUUUUUUCAUAUUCCUUCGGUUCCAAUUUAGCUAACAGUCUUUCCUUUUUAGUCAACUUUUAGUCACAUAUUUCUAUAUUUAGUAAUAAUUUAAUACUUAUAGACAAAUAAAUAUAUCACUCAUUUUAGAUGAAAAAAUCUUAAACUCUAUACCGAAUCAAACACUACUAAUGUAAAUUGGGACGGAGCGAGUAUUAUAUUUCGUGCUAAGCUGUUGUGUUCUUUGGUUGUAAAUAAAUCAUGGGGUUUGAUUUACUGUUCAAGAAUUUUGUGGGUGCUGUAGGAUUUUGUUGAAUUAUGGUUUUGAACUCUUUUGUAAUAGCUUGAUGAGCUGAACCAAUAAGAGAUAUUACGUUCUACCUUCUGCUUCGAGCCCGGCCGAGAGUGAGCUUCCCGAUAGUCUCUUCCUUCCUAGAAAUAGAACUCUAACUAUCCCGUCUCCUUACUCGAGAUAUCUGAGAUAGCUCCGUAAACUAAUAACUUAUAAUAGACGAGCCCAUUAUCCUUAUGUUCUGAACUGGCUUCUUGGUACAAGGGGAGGGGCGAAGAAUUCUAGUUCUAGUUCUUCUUCUGCCUAAUCUUUAGAACCAUGUGCCUAAGAGGGCGAGGACCUUUAUAGCCAUAAUUCUUCCCCCGGUUCUACCUCCUUCUGCAAUAGUGAUCUAUCCCGUCAAUAGUUCCGGAAUAUCUUGCCCUAUAGAAUAGUUCCGGAAUAUCUUGCCUUCAUACAGGGAAAAUUGGGUAAAAUCUUCAAUUUUAUGUUACACUAAUUCUGUUAAAAAAGAAACCUUUAUAUAUUUCGAAAUAAUUUAACUUUAAACUUCUCAUUUUACUGUUAAUGAGAUGAUCUGUAGUCACAUAAAUGUCUAUCUUGUUUUAAAGUUUUUAUUUUUCCUUAUUAAACUCCAUGCUCAGUCAAACAAUGGGUCUAUUAGAAAAGAGUCUCUCUAUCCUCACAAGUUAGGGGUAAGGUAUGCGUACACACUACCCUCCCUAGAUCCCACGGUGUGAGAUAAUAAUGAGUAUGUUGUUGUUGUUGCUCAGUCAAAAAACAUUACAUAAAUUGGGAUGGAGGGACUAUCUUGUUUGAUUUUCAGCUUAAGGAACUUUUGUCUCACAAUUAUCAGAUUUUUCCUGUCCUUUCAUUUUUAGUUAAUGCAGCAACGAGGGGUAAUCUUACUUUGGAGUGCCCGAAUUGGUUUGAGCUUAAAUUUAUGCAAGUUGUAUUAGUACCUGCAUUGCUUUGUUGAUGCUGUUGUAAUGUGUAACUGACUGCUCCAGUUCGUUACUUAAAAAAAAUGGAAUUUUUUUCUCUCAGUUACUUACCAAUUUUAGUUUUGGUUCAAAGGAUUGAACUAAUUACAUUUAACUUUCAAUGAAUAGUUCAUAUAGGGCUGUCAAAUUUGGCCGAAGCCCCAAUGACCUGCCCAACACACUCAAGGUUGGCUAUUUAUUGAACUCAACCCAACUUGACCCAACCCAUCUCAACCCAUUUAAAGUUGGGCUGAUUUUUAGCCUAAAUUGUUCCAUGAGUAACUUUGCCAGACUUAGAAAUAGUUCUUUUUUGUUUGAUAUGUUAUAUAUGGCCAUAAGAAAAUAAAAUGUCUUAUUUAGUAUUAUAAAAUUCAUAAGAAAACAACACAUAUUAAUUAAAGUUUGGUAAGAGUUGGGCGUGUUAGGCUUUGACCCAAAUUUUAGCUCAUCUUGACUCAACCAAUCUCAGCCCAAGUAAUGUUUGGGCGGAUCAGUGGCCCACCCAUUUGAUACCCUAAGUUCAUACGUGUGACGUCUCUAUGUGCAUUUGUCUUCAUAUACCAAGCUGAUUAUUCAUUUAAAAAGAUAAAGAUAUGUGCUUUUCUAUUCCUUAAUUAGGCUAAAAUUACACUAAUCUCCCGUCUAGAUUGAUGAGACUAAAUGUAGCUGCAGACCAGUAUUUCAAUGUCAUUCUUGGAUCUUUAUUUAAGUCGUCUGUUUUGAGUUAGGUGGUGAUGAUUUGAAAUUUUUGUCUGCCUUAGAUGCAUGUUGUGUUGCUCGGAUGGGGGCGCGGGUAUCCCAUAAUGGUGCAGAUCUAAAGGUCGGAUUUGUCAUCACAUAAAUUUUAGGAUUCGGGGAUAUGAAUUCAAGUACGGUUACGGGUGCUGGGAUACAACCAAUAAAUGUAUGAUACUAUAGAUAUAAGUAUAUAUUUCGAUUAAUUAAAGUUAUCAAACUAAAUCUAAUAAUUUUUUUUAUAAAAUAUAAACACCUAAUCCGGUGUGGAUUCCACACCCAUGUCGUGUUGAUACGGGUGCGGAAAAGAUUUUGAAGAGUCCGCACAACAUAGGAUUCAUGCACCUUGUUUGGUGAGUUCUUUAUCAGUCUAAUUUCUCAAGGCGUUUGAGGUAUUAUACAACUUGGACUAUGUCAUGCCUGUUUUGAUAUUCUGCAUCUUGUAUUAGAUGUUUUCAAAUGCUAUUAUCCUGUUAGCUUUUGAUGAAAUCCUUGAACCAUGUCGCUUAAAUUCUGCAAACAGUGCUUACAAUAAUAUCAACCACCCAAGCAAGUUAGUUAUGGGAGCAGACUUUCAUUGUUUUAAGCAUACAAUUGAGCCAAAGUGGGAAGAUCCUGUAUGUGCGGAUGGAGGGAAUUGGACAAUGAACUUUAGUAAGG
rnacentral:lncRNA from 1 species